rnacentral:lncRNA from 1 species
AAACUGAAAGUUACAUUAAAAAGUAUAAGAAAAUUAUUUCUUAUUCCAGAGGCACGUUAGAAACAAUACAUCAUAAUGAAAGCCACACAUUUUAUAUUGAUGUAUUUAAGGCACAGUGAAUUCUAUAUGUGAUUUUACUUACUUACCUGGAUAACUCUUCCCCUAAACUCUGCAAACUCCAUUUGAACUAGAUUCCAUUUCUUAAAAAAAAAAAUGAAUUUCUUGUACCUUGUCUGAAAGAUUCUGUAGUUUCAGUCAAAAUACUCACAUGAAUAGAAUUUAACUCAUUAGUUUUCUAUUUCAAAUGUUGUGAAAUCUUUCAUGGUGGUUUAAAACAAAACAAAAAAUCAAUAAUAAUGAAUUUAUCUGUAGUGUAAAGCCAUAAAGGAGUUCAAUACAAUUUCAAUGAAUGAAUUUUUCAUUUUAGCCAGGGUCUAGUUAUUAUAGUUCUCCUUUUCUAAGCAUACCUGAUCUUCCUAACAAUUGUUAAUUAUUUUCAUUACAUGUUAAGGAAACUAAGAAUCAGACAUUAAAUAACU